CUCCUUGGAAUUUUCUGGAUUUUUUUGUUGUUUUUUCUUUGUUUUUUUCCUGUAUCACUAGAAAUAAGCAUACAAAAAAGUUAGACAGCAGAGAUAAGACAUGGAUGUCUAUCAGUAGAAAAUUAAAAAUGUAAUUUCAUUCAAUCUACUUUUUUUUUUUUUUUGUCUCAAUCAGUAAGUAGGAGUACUAAAAGUCUGUAAUACAGAUGGGGGAUUAAAUUUUGGCCAAUGACCAUUUUACUUUUGAAGAUGACCUGUCCUCCUCUCCUGCAAAAUAAAGGCCAUUACAUUGUACCAUGGUGUCUGACAGCUCUUUUAUUCAAAAGUAGGAGGCUGAAUUUAUAAGGUUCUUCAACUUCUUGAGAGCAUCUGUCACAUCCCACAUGGGGAAUGAAAUUUGCAAAUCCCUUCAGAUUAAAGUGAAAUGCUACGCAAUGUCAUUUCCUCCUUUUCAAGAAGAGAACAUCAACUUCAAUAGGAUAUUUCUUCAAAACUGUUAUCCUAUAUGCUUUGGUCCUCUCACAAUUAUAUCUACAUAAGCUGUGCAAUUUUAUAAGGAAUUCAGGAGAGAAGAGAAGAGAAGAGAAGAGAAGAGA
ensembl:lncRNA